UACAGAGGUCUCAAGCGUUGUCCGGAAUCAUUGGGCGUAAAGAGCGUGUAGGCGGCCCGAUAAGUCCGCUGUGAAAGUCCAGGGCUCAACCCUGGAAUGCCAGUGGAAACUGUCGGGCUGGAGUCCGGAAGAGGCGAGUGGAAUUCCUGGUGUAGCGGUGAAAUGCGCAGAUAUCAGGAGGAACACCAAUGGCGAAGGCAGCUCGCUGGGACGGUACUGACGCUGAGACGCGAAAGCGUGGGGGAGCGAACAGG
rnacentral:rRNA from 1 species